CCCAUUGUAUCUGGGAAAUAACUAACUUGCUUUUGCUUUUACUGUUUCAUUGGCAGAAGGGACUUGCCUUGUCUCAGAUGAGAUUUUGGACAGAGAACUUUUGAGUUAAUGCUGAAAUGAGCUAAGACUUUUGGGGACUGUUGGGAAGGCAUGAUUGGUUUUGGAACGUGAGGACGUGAGAUUUGGGAGGAGCCAGAGGCGGAAUGAUAUGGUUUGGCUGUGUCCACACCCAAAUCUCAUUUUGAAUUGCAACUCCCACAGCUACCACAUGUCAGGGGAGGAACCCAGUGGGAGGUGAUUGAAUUAUGGGAGCUGAUCCUUCCUGCACUGUUCUCAUAUUGAAUGAGUGAGUCUACAAGAGCUGACGGUUUUAAAAAAACAGGAGUGUUCCUGCACAAUCUUUCUUUUUGCUUGCUGCCAUCCAUAUAAGACGCGACUUGCUUCUCCUGCAUUCCGCCAUGAUUGUGAGACCUCCCCAGCCACGUGGAACUGCAAGGUAAUAAUAUCAGAUCUCUGUCUAUAUAUAUGUGGAGUUGAUUGAAGGACUCAAAGCUUUAUACAGACCAAGUAAAGGCAUUGGACCCCUGGAAGACACACUCUGAUGCCAGCAGAACAGGCUUGCACUCAUAUCCAGAGUCUGAAGACCACUUCCAUGGACCACUGCUGGAAGAAGUGCCCCCAGAGUGGUCGAGCAACUGUGCACUCAUGCUCCUAGCCAGAGUAAUAGCUUCAUAGCCCCACCCCCAGCCAGCCAGACUCCAAGUUGGCUGAUCCACCAUGUGCAUGCAUGUGCCUCUGAACUGAAAAACAGCCUGUGCAAACAUGAGUAACAUGGGCCUGCUCUGGAGACUACUGGGAACACAAACACAGAUGGGGUCUCCCUAGGUUGCCCAGGCUGAUCUUGAACUCCUGGGCUCAAGCUAUCUUCCUGCUUUGACCUCCCAAAGUACUGAGAUUACAGGCAUGAGCCACUUCACCAGGCCUAUUUAUGUAUUUUUUUUUGAAUAAAUGUUUUGUGCACUUAAAAAAAAACUUGGAAAAUUUCAAAUAAACACAAAAUAAGAAAACAGUACAAUGAAUCCCAUGUUCCUGCCACACAGUCUCAAAAACCAACAUUUUUC